rnacentral:lncRNA from 1 species
GCUGAGACCCAGGCUAGAUGGCAGCCAAGGAGAAGAGAAAACAGGGUUAUGCGAAUGCACUUCUUAUCAUCUCAGUUUGGAUUUGGUACACAGACAAGCCUGCAGCUGGAGGCCUCCACAUCCCUGAGGAAGGGCGAGCCUUGCUUUAAGGACCUGUACUUUUCUUCACCUC